GGGUGCGAUCAUACCAGCACUAAUGCACCGGAUCCCAUCAGAACUCCGAAGUUGAGCGUGCUUGGGCG
rnacentral:rRNA from 1 species